AUGAAAAAGAUAACGUUAAAGAAGUAGAAUGGCACUCCUCAAAUCUUAAUGACGAUGGUGACAAUAAAUGCCCACCACCCUCACAUGCAUGAUUCAAGGGUACACCUCAGAUACAGACACACUUCUUAAUGAGCUAAUUCAAUGGAGGUGGCGGUGAACCCGCAUCCUAUUUAAUGCUAACUGCUAGUUGGUGUGUCAGAUUCCUAGAACAAGCUGAAAAACACAUGUAAUUUUUUUACAAGGUUUUCUAGAUGGUAAGGAUGCUAUUUGCGAGGGAGUAUGCUUGUUAAUUGAUAUUAAUUUUUCCCCCCAACAAUUUCCAGGAGCAAGAAACGGAGGGUUUUUCCUUUGGAUCAAUCAUGCAUCUAGUUUCUUCGCUUUUGCUUUCUUGACCUUCGGCCCCUUUUGUGAAAAGACCAGAAUUUAUUCAUGGCUGAGGCUUGAAGCAGUAGGACUCAUGUGUAAACAAGUCUUAAUUCAUUGCUGCCAAUGCUUCAAGGAAAUGCAGCAAGGACCGAGAUCGAAUUGUAGCCGCUCAAGACUUUUCAUGGAGUUUAUUUUGGCUGGUUAAUUGAGAUUUCUUAGUCUUUCAAGACA